rnacentral:rRNA from 1 species
UAACGAAUCUUCCCCAAUGCACGAAAGCGUGAGGGAGCGACGCCGCGUGGAGGAUGAAGUCCUUCGGGAUGUAAACUCCUGUCAGGGGUUACCAAGUUCUGAGGAGCCCCAGAGGAAGGCACGGCUAACUCUGUGCCAGCAGCCGCGGUAAGACAGAGGUGCCAAGCGUUAGGCGGAAUCACUGGGCUUAAAGCGUGCGUAGGCGGACUUUUAAGUGUCUUGUGAAAUCCCACGGCUUAACCGUGGAACUGCUUGAGAUACUGGGAGUCUUGAGCUGCGUAGGGGUCACUGGAAUUAACGGUGGAGCGGUGAAAUGCGUAGAUAUCGUGUGGAACGCCAAAGGUGAAGGCAGGCGACUGGGGGCAAGCUGACGCUGAGACACGAAAGCCAGGGGAGCAAACG